rnacentral:rRNA from 1 species
GACGAACGCUGGCGGCGUGCCUAAUACAUGCAAGUAGAACGCACAGUUUAUACCGUAGCUUGCUACACCAUAAACUGUGAGUUGCGAACGGGUGAGUAACGCGUAGGUAACCUGCCUGGUAGCGGGGGAUAACUAUUGGAAACGAUAGCUAAUACCGCAUAAUAUUGAUUAAUGCAUGAUAAUUGAUUGAAAGAUGCUAUUGCAUCACUACCAGAUGGACCUGCGUUGUAUUAGCUAGUAGGUGAGGUAACGGCUCACCUAGGCGACGAUACAUAGCCGACCUGAGAGGGUGAUCGGCCACACUGGGACUGAGACACGGCCCAGACUCCUACGGGAGGCAGCAGUAGGGAAUCUUCGGCAAUGGACGAAAGUCUGACCGAGCAACGCCGCGUGAGUGAAGAAGGUUUUCGGAUCGUAAAGCUCUGUUGUAAGAGAAGAACGGGUGUGAGAGUGGAAAGUUCACUCUGUGACGGUAUCUUACCAGAAAGGGACGGCUAACUACGUG